UACGGAGGAUUCGAGCGUUGUCCGGAUUUAUUGGGUUUAAAGGGUGCGUAGGUGGACUGGUAAGUCAGCUGUGAAAGUUUACGGCUCAACCGUGAAAUUGCAGUUGAUACUGUUGAUCUUGAGUAUACAUGAGGUGGGCGGAAUUUGUGGUGUAGCGGUGAAAUGCUUAGAUAUCACAAAGAACUCCAAUUGCGAAGGCAGCUCACUGGGGUGUAACUGACACUCAUGCACGAAGGUGUGGGUAGCAAACAGG
rnacentral:rRNA from 1 species